CAGCCGCCGCGGGAAUACGUAGGUGGCAAGCGUUGUCCGGAAUUAUUGGGCGUAGAGGGCUCGCAGGCGGUUUCUUAAGUCUGAUAUGAAAGCCCCCGGCUCAACCGGGGAGGGUCAUUGGAAACUGGGAAACUUGAGUGCAGAAGAGGAGAGUGGAAUUCCACGUGUAGCGGUGAAAUGCGUAGAGAUGUGGAGGAACACCAGUGGCGAAGGCGACUCUCUGGUCUGUAACUGACGCUGAGGAGCGAAAGCGUGGGGAGCGAACAGGAUUAGAUACCCCAGUAGUCCCUGUCUCUUAUAC
rnacentral:rRNA from 1 species